rnacentral:rRNA from 1 species
AUUGAACGCUGGCGGCAGGCCUAACACAUGCAAGUCGAGCGGAUGAGUGGAGCUUGCUCCAUGAUUCAGCGGCGGACGGGUGAGUAAUGCCUAGGAAUCUGCCUGGUAGUGGGGGACAACGUUUCGAAAGGAACGCUAAUACCGCAUACGUCCUACGGGAGAAAGCAGGGGACCUUCGGGCCUUGCGCUCUCAGAUGAGCCUAGGUCGGAUUAGCUAGUAGGUGAGGUAAUGGCUCACCUAGGCGACGAUCCGUAACUGGUCUGAGAGGAUGAUCAGCCACACUGGAACUGAGACACGGUCCAGACUCCUACGGGAGGCAGCAGUGGGGAAUAUUGGACAAUGGGCGAAAGCCUGAUCCAGCCAUGCCGCGUGUGUGAAGAAGGUCUUCGGAUUGUAAAGCACUUUAAGUUGGGAGGAAGGGCAGUAAGUUAAUACCUUGCUGUUUUGGCGUUACCAACAGAAUAAGCACCGGCUAACUUCGUGCCAGCCGCCGCAGUAACAC